CUUCCGGCGUUGUUGUAUAAAAACCCAUUCCGAGGACUAUAGGGUCCUAUUUCUUCGUUCUUCAGGGUCGUUUCCGAUUCGAAGUCAUCAGGCUAGUGAGGUUCUGGACGGUGGUUUCCCCUGUAAUUAUGAAGAAAACGGCAGGAUUUGGCUUUCCUACUUCAAGCCAGAACACCACGCACCAGAAGAGACUUCGCCAUGUGGGAACACUUAAAGCUCCUUGAUACAAGUAAACUUCUGAGCCUCAAGGUGGUAGUGCUCAUUUUCCCUGGAGCAUGGCGCAUGGUCUCCUGAAGUGGUGUGGUGUUAUCUUGGUCUGCCGAAUGGCCACAAGAUGGUGCUCAAGUCAAGAUUCCCAUGUCCUUUGUGUCCUCCCCAGUCUCAAGUGUUGAGUGGUCUGCCUGAAGUGGUUGGAACAUAUUCCAAGAAGGGUCUAAACUGAACCAUUCUGAAUGGGCCUCCUAUUACAAGUCUGGAACUUCUGGCAUUCUGGGAUGAUGGGUAGGUGGUUUCAGCCUUGUCUGCCCAUCCUGUCAAACUAUGGAUGCAUUGAUUUUUAGAUCUUUGGAAGUUGAAGUUCAGUCUGUUUAGGGGUUCACAAAUCCGCUCGACGCUUCACUCAAGCGGCAGCCACAGCUCUGGUUCAUACUUACCUGAUCUGUAGAACUGUCAUGUAAGCUCCAGUCUGGUGGCUUGUUCUUCAACUCCCAGGCCUUCCCGAAGUAAGAUCUCCGGAAAUGUACCAAUUGACCAAUCUCAUUGAAGGUUUUUGCUCAAGUUACACCAACUCCUUCAGCCCUGUAAAUUGCUGUUUGUGUUUUUACUGUCUGUCAAUGUAAAAUAAAUGUAUUUGAACUUUGUUCAUUGUUCAUGUCAGUAUUGUUCUCUAUCAUCCAUGGAGUGCAGUGCAUACCAUUUUGUAUACUCUUGGGUGGGAAAUAAAACAAGUCUUUCACACUGCU